GAUGAACGCUGGCGGCGUGCCUAAUACAUGCAAGUCGAGCGAAUGGAUUAAGAGCUUGCUCUUAUGAAGUUAGCGGCGGACGGGUGAGUAACACGUGGGUAACCUGCCCAUAAGACUGGGAUAACUCCGGGAAACCGGGGCUAAUACCGGAUAACAUUUUGAACCGCAUGGUUCGAAAUUGAAAGGCGGCUUCGGCUGUCACUUAUGGAUGGACCCGCGUCGCAUUAGCUAGUUGGUGAGGUAACGGCUCACCAAGGCAACGAUGCGUAGCCGACCGGAGAGGGGGAUCGGCCACACUGGGACUGAGACACGGCCCAGACUCCUACGGGAGGCAGAAGUAGGGAAUCUUCCGCAAUGGACGAAAGUCUGACGGGGCAACGCCGCGUGAGUGAUGAAGGCUUUCGGGUCGUAAAACUCUGUUGUUAGGGAAGAACAAGUGCUAGUUGAAUAAGCUGGCACCUUGACGGUACCUAACCAGAAAGCCACGGCUAACUACGUGCCAGCCGCCGCAGUAA
rnacentral:rRNA from 1 species